UAUUAGCCUCAUAAAAUGUUAGGUGGCUUUCUCUUUUUCUGCUUUUUCAAACGACUCAUGUAAGAUAGACAUUAUCUAAUCCUUCAAAAUUCAGCACCAGUGCUGAGGCUUUGGGAGUGGUUGGGAAGGUCUUUGGUUGCCAUUUUAAUUUCCUUAAUGGUUAUUGGACUAUUAACAUAUACAAUUUACACCUUCUUAUAUGUGGGACAAUUUUUUUAACUUUCUAGUCAGUUACAUUAAUUAAAUUUAGUAUGUGUUUCUUUUUAAAUGUGUUGCUGGUCUUGAACCCCUAGACACAAGUGAUCAUCCCAUCCUGGUUUCCCAAAUGGCUGGUAUUAUGCACAUGAACCAUAGAACCCAGCUGAUAUAUGUGGUUUAAAAUAAAUGAUCAUAUGUAAGUAAAUGUUGUUAGGUAGCUGCUAUUUUUAAAAAGCCAUUUUCAACUAUACAUUUGAAUGGAUCUGUAAGUCCAGAUAUUGUGACCCAGUAUUUAUUGUUGUUGUUAACUGUUAUAACUCAAACUUACUAUAUUUCUUUCAAGCAAAUGAGCCAGAUGACUGAAGCUGGCUGGAACAUCACAUGGUCCAUCAGUGCUGGACAGCCAGGCCUUCCCAGUUUCCUCAUAGCUUACAUUUGCACUCCAGUUUAGCUGCUGUCUGAGCUUGGGGCAGGAGCAGCUGAACCUUCACCAUCUAGAGGCAAGACUGGAGUACUCGACACCCAUCCUUGCUGUGCUCCUGAAGAACCAGGGUCGCAGACUUUACCUUGUGGAUUCAGAGAGGAGACUGCUGUUGCCAAGCCCUGCUGAGCAUCAUUUCUGGUUUGGCAGAGUUGAUGAGCCUCCUGCUUCUUGAAUACUCCUGACUCAUCUCUGCAGAGCAGACACACCUCACUUCUUGGAAAUCACUGAAGAAUGUUCUGUGCAAGAGAAGCUGGCAACCUGUAUUUUACUGCUCAAAAAAGAAAAUACAAGGCUCAACUUGGUUCUGAUGCAGAACUCAGGAGCUCCUAAAAGAGCAAGUGGAAUGAAAUGCUUCCUUUUUUAUUUUCUUCUCUUUAGAAACCAUUAACCCAUUGUUUAUUUGGAAAUGGCUUAUGUGGCAUGCAGAAUAUAUGAACACAAAAACUGAACAUUUAUUUAUCCAUUAUAUUAAACAUGCUGUGACUGCUUCAAGCUGAGUGAUGCACAACUUGUGUCAAUGCAAAAUUCAAUAUAGAAUUCUGACAUAUGUUAAUAAAACUUUGGUAUAAGGCAAAAAAAAAAAAGAAAGAAAG